CAGUCGACGCUUCUUUUCUACCGAGUGCUUGCACUCACUUGAAAAGAAGAGUGGCGGACGGGUGAGUAACACGUGGGUAACCUGCCCAUCAGAGGGGGAUAACACUUGGAAACAGGUGCUAAUACCGCAUAAUAGUCGACACCGCAUGGUGUUGAUUUGAAAGACGCUUUCGGGUGUCACUGAUGGAUGGACCCGCGGUGCAUUAGCUAGUUGGUGAGGUAACGGCUCACCAAGGCCAUGAUGCAUAGCCGACCUGAGAGGGUGAUCGGCCACACUGGGACUGAGACACGGCCCAGACUCCUACGGGAGGCAGCAGUAGGGAAUCUUCGGCAAUGGACGAAAGUCUGACCGAGCAACGCCGCGUGAGUGAAGAAGGUUUUCGGAUCGUAAAACUCUGUUGUUAGAGAAGAACAAGUGGGAGAGUAACUGCUCCCGCCUUGACGGUAUCUAACCAGAAAGCCACGGCUAACUACGUGCCAGCAGCCGCGGUAAUACGUAGGUGGCAAGCGUUGUCCGGAUUUAUUGGGCGUAAAGCGAGCGCAGGCGGUUUCUUAAGUCUGAUGUGAAAGCCCCCGGCUCAACCGGGGAGGGUCAUUGGAAACUGGGAGACUUGAGUGCAGAAGAGGAGAGUGGAAUUCCAUGUGUAGCGGUGAAAUGCGUAGAUAUAUGGAGGAACACCAGUGGCGAAGGCGACUCUCUGGUCUGUAACUGACGCUGAGGCUCGAAAGCG
rnacentral:rRNA from 1 species